AAAGUCGUAACAAGGUCUCCGUUGGUGAACCAGCGGAGGGAUCAUUAACGAGUUGCAAAACUCCCAACCAUUGUGAACCUACCAUACCGUUUCUUCGGCGGGUGGCCCUCGGGCCGCGCUGACCCCUCGGGGGAGGCACCCCGCCGGAGGUACCCAAACUCUUGUCAUCAUUGGCCUCUCUGAGUACAAAACAAAAUUAUUACAACUUUCAACAAUGGAUCUCUUGGCUCUG
rnacentral:misc_RNA from 1 species